GACGAACCGUACGAACGUUAUUCGGAAUCACUGGGCUUAAAGGGUGCGUAGGCGGCGCAGAAAGUUGGGUGUGAAAUCCCUCGGCUUAACCGAGGAAUUGCGCCCAAAACUACUGUGCUCGAGGGAGGUAGAGGUGAGCGGAACUUAGGGUGGAGCGGUGAAAUGCGUUGAUACCCUAAGGAACACCGGUGGCGAAAGCGGCUCACUGGACCUCUUCUGACGCUGAGGCACGAAAGCUAGGGUAGCAAACAGG
rnacentral:rRNA from 1 species